rnacentral:lncRNA from 1 species
UCACAGAUGUAUUCAAUGGGAAAUGAGUAGUUAAGUGAUUAAACUUACUUAAUGGCAUUGAUUAUUUUUUCAAUUAUGAUUCUGUUGCUACAGCAUCUACUACAGCACGAGACAAAAUCCCUCAUACGUCCUCAGCUAUCGCAUGUUGGAUAUCUUAUAUCUAUAUGCAACCUAAUAGUGAUAAAUUGUUAUGCUAACAUUAGAUACAACAUUAUACGUUCUAGAUUCCAAUUGUCCUACAACGUGAAUCUCUAUGUCUAGUUCUUCACUAAUUUUAGAUCAAGCAUGAUCCUAUUCAAAUCGAGAUUAACUCAACUUGGGAAACUCAAUUUAAAACCAUGUAUUGUCUUAAUUUACUCCAUAAAGUCAGACUUUUUUUAGGCUUCUUCUUAGCUAGUAUCCUCUAAAUGGGUGAUUAACCGAAAUAGUACCAAUACUCGUUUCUGCCAUCAAACACAUUCUCAUAUAGAAAAGAAAACAAGAAAAUAAAGAUGAAGAAUUGAGUUAAGUCUUUAUGACAUCUCUUUCGUUUUCUUCUGGAAUCCCUUGCUGCAGCCCUCAACUUUCUCUUAUUCUCUUUUUCCUUUUGUCUUCUCUAUUACUUUUCUUCAAUGACGACUCUCUCUUAUUUCUUUCACGUGUGCUCUUUUUAUAUCUUGGGAUUAGAGCAACCAAAAGCAUGUGGUCACGUGUCUUUUUUAAAAAAAAAAUACCUCGGAUCACAUAUCUUUUUGUGCCUCAUGUUGCUGCUUUGUCAUUUAACACGCCCGUAAUCUUUUCUGCAGUUGCUCCCAGAUUGCUGUAGUAACGAUUACAACAUCUUCUCUCAUACUUGUUUUAGUUCCUCUAUAGUCAAGUUCUUUGUCAUCUCUGCAAGUUUACUACUGCAACAUUCCAUCCAUAAAACUUGAGCUUUUUGAUCACCUACAAUCAUGCACAUAAUCAAUUUAUUAAAAUUAAACUUAAAUAAAUGCUCAUACAAAAUGUAGCUAAAAAUGCAAUAAAAACACAUCAUUUAUUUUCUAAGUAAUAUUGGUUUAAGUCUAAAAAUGUCAUAAUAACUCUCAUUCCAUAGAGUUAUCAAAUAGAGAGCUUGGAAAAUUUUGUAUAUGGUUUCCUUGAUUCUUUCUUGCCACCGACUUCUUUUGAGAGCCUCUUUUUCCAAUAAUAGUUGCAUUUAGCUAUUAUUGUGCUUGAAUAUUCUCAGUUGGUUGCCAUUGAAACACAUAUAACAGACUCUGAGGUUCAGUAUCAAUCCCAACAACAAUAUUUUCUAUAUCAUCCUUAAACAACCUCUUUUUAAUCAUAUUCAUCACAUUAAGUGCUAUAAUGCUCAUGGCAAACACAAUCUGUUUAUAUUUCUUCUCAUUGUACAAGUGUCAUCUCCUAUAUAGCUUAUGAUCAUUAUUUAUUGUACCCUUCUUUCCAUUCUAUGGUAGGGUAACUUUAAUAAUUAAUCUCUCAACUUUAUAACUAUUUCUCUUAAUCAUUCUUUUAAUUAUAGUAUUGAUCAGGACAACUUUACCUAAAAGUUAGAGUCAAUGAUGCUAACCUCAAAAAUGUCACCAAGAAAGUUUACAAAGCCUUCCAUCCUCAAGUUCGCCUCCUAUAACAAAAGCAUCCAUAACAAAUAUCAAUAAUAACACCGACAUAGACGUAAUCAACCACUAAGAACAAUAUAUAUCAAUAGUUAUACAAAUGUAUAUGUGUUUUUUUUUUUGGUCUCCAACAACUCAUUUCUAUAGAAAAUACUACUGGGUUUAAACCCAAUUGUUUCAAAUAAUAAUAGUAAUAGCACAAAUAUUUUAUAUGUAUGGCCAUUGUUUUACUUAAUGUUGUCCUAAUCUGAAAAAAAAACGCUAUUAAACCCAUUUUAAUGAAAAUAACUUAAUGAAGAAAAAAGGUCAUUAACCUCAGCCAUCAUAACGUUGUUGUUUCAAGCAAGCAUUACCCAAUGGUCACUUUUUUUGUACUCUUUCGGUACUCUUUCGAACCAAAAUGCAUUGUUUAUGGCCAAUAUUUUGAUGCUCUAUUUCAAAGUUUCUCUCUUUACAUUGUGAACAAGAUGAUGGUUCGUGCCAAGAGGAAAGGAUAUUUUGCUAUUUUUACAUUUAACCAAUUAUGUAUUUUUUUCAUUAAAAUUUUGAAAAUUACUUAUUAUGAUAUUAACCAAUAUAAAAUUAUAAAAAAUUUAGGGGGUAGUUGAAAGGUUGCCUCGGUUUGAAAUGUCAUACAACAAUACCAUUAGUGACAUUCCACCAUACUAACACUCAUUACAAGAUUUCUUCAAACACAAUUUUGCCCUUUAAGAUGUUAACUUUAAUGAAGAGAUCACGAGAUUUUGGGGGUAAAUUGAUGUUUUCGUAUCCUUGGGGUAUAUUUUAAAGAUACUCACCUAGUGAAAGAAAAAUCACGUGCAAAUCAUCUAACUAUGCUCUCUCUCACUCCAUCAAUCUCUCUUCUUCUAAAUUCUAUCAAGCUUGUCUUUCACCUCAUCUCUGAUAGUCACCAUGGUCUCAUAUCUAAUAGCCACCAUAAUCGACAUUCUCAAUGCUUAAGGUAAUUUCCUCAAUUCAUUUCAUUAAUUUGAAAUUUAUGAUGUUUAGGUUUUAGAAUUGGUGAAUUAUUUAUAGGAUGUGCUAAAUUAAAGAUAAGGGAAAAUUAAUUUAGUUCAUUCAAUUUAGUGCACACCCUUAAUAGUUUUUGAUAGAUUUAAAGCAUGCAGACCUUGAAAAGAUGCCUUUUUUUUUAAUUUUUUUCUAAUUUUAAAUUAACUCAUCUAAGGACCGAGAGGAUCUAAGAAUUUAAUGAUGAAAAGAAUGAAAAUGUUGUUGUUCUUUUAUGGGAUGUUAUUUUGGUGGGACAUAUUAUUGUAACUAUAGCAGCAUCUACUACAAGGUUUAAGGAGAAAGAGCUUAAUCAGACACCCACUUGGGUUGUUGAAACUAUUUGUGCAAUUAUCAUUCUCGUUUCUACUCUCUUGGCAAAGAAUCUUCACAAACUUGGAGUAUUACUGCAUUUACAUAUGCUCUUAAUAUAGUUCCAAUGCAAUUGAAUUUAAUGGACUUUGUUGUAUCUUUGUUUAUGCAUGCUCAAAUUGCCCAACCAAACAUUUGUUUGUUCUUUUAGUGUUGCUUUCCUUGAGUUGUUCUAUUGAUACUUUAUGGAAUUUCACAUCUGUGGUAGCUUACGAAGAGGUACAAGUGAGCUCUAAAGCCCUUGAGAAGGUCAAAGCUGGUAAUCAAGAUUCUUUAGUUUUCAUUGAUUAAGAUACAUAGUUAUUUAGUUUCGUAUAUUAAUUAAUGUAUUAGUUCUAGAUUAAGCAUAUGACAACUUUAGAGAAUAGAGUUGACAAUUAAUGAUUAAGCUUACAUGUGAAUUAGGAAUCCAUGAUCAUAAAUUGUGCUGAUAUCUGAUUAAUUUUUGUUUAUAUUUGUAGAAAAUUUGUUUAAUCAUAAAGUCUUCUAGCAUAACUGAAAAUCCAACCCCAUAGUUGGAAGCUUGUGAAAAAUGUUUCAACUAUUAUAAGAUCUUAUGAAGUUCACGUACAGGAAAAAAAUUGAAUCAUAAGUUUUGAAAGUGCAAAUGAUGCAAGGCUUUUUGAAUGGAUUUAAGAUCGAAAGAGAAGUGAAUCUAAUAACUUUCAAUGAAUGGAAGAUCCAAAUAGUAGUGAGAAUAAAAUUGAUGUCUUAUUAGAGUCUACAAGUUUAGGCAUCAAAUGGAAUGUUUCUCUCUUAAAUUUCAAUUGUUUCAGAAAAAACUUUAAUGAAGACAACAUUGUGAAGAUCAAAGGCAAUUGAUGAAGGAUGAAUUAGGAAAAUGACAGCAAGCUUUAUUGUAAAAUAUGUCCCAUAAAUAAUUGUAUCUAUAUUAGUAUGUAAAAAAGAAGAUACAAAAUAAUAAUUAAAAAAAAAUCAGAAUAAAUGUUAUCGAAGAUAAAAUCAAAAUAAUAAAUUAGGAGAAUAUUUACGAGUACUGUACCUGAAGAAGGAGAUAGACACACCGUGAUAAGAUUUAAUAAUACUCGUCGAUAUUGUGCGUGUGACUGUGAUGGCAGGGAAGCAGGAAGCAGCUUAGGGUUUUUUUUUCGUUUGCAGAGUGACCACUGAUUUGCGAUUUUGGGUUAUGCUAAAUUGCUAAUGCUAGUUGCUUUUGGCGUCAUCUACUUUAUGUCAUUGUUUUUUUUUUUUUUUGACAAAAGCUUUAACUUUUGACUUUAUUUCAAUAAUUUUUGACCGAUUUCAUAUUUUUUAUUUUUUUUAUUAGAUAAUGAUUGUUAUGUUACUUUACUUAAUAACUUUACUUUACUUUAAUUUUUUUAAUUAUUAAUUUAAUUUUUUUGUUUUAUAAUUUUAUUAAAUAAUGACUAAAUUAAAUUAUAGUGUUUAUAUAAUUAUGUAAUAUUAUAUUUAUAAUAUUUUUUAAAAUAAAUAAAUAAAUAUAUUUUUUUGCGGAUUCACGGAUUUUUGCGGAUUCACAGAAGUAAAUCCAUAUCCAAUCCACCGACUGCGGAUUUUUAAAAUUUCAAUCCAAUCCAAUCCACCAAUCCACGGAUCGGAUUUAUACGGAUCGGAUUUUUGCGGAUCAGAUGGAUUGAACGGAUCGGAUCGGAUUCUGAACACCCCUAGUAUGUAUUACAAUUAAGUGUUAUAUUUAAUUCAUGUAUUCAUAUUUUUUAUUUUAUUAAAGCCUAUAAUGAAAUGUUACAAUUUGAGUGUGGAAAUUUUUGUUACAAGGUGGAAGAACGAAUGUUCAAGUUCACCACAGCUGUAUAAUCAAGAUGCAAGGCCUAGCACUAUAAAUCCUUACUGAAUCUUAGAAACCUGGUUCACGAAACUAUUAUUAUUGAAAUCUUAAAAUUUCAGUGUGUACAAGCAUGUAAAAUGAAAUAAGCAUACAUUAUUGAAAUCAAUCUAUUAUAAGAGUGCAGAGGUAUCAAUUUGUUACAAAAGUGUAGAUGUAUCAAUAUAUUACAAAAGUGCAAAGAUGAUAAUGCAAAAUGGGCAUGCCUGUUAUGUUAUUAACAUAUCAACAUCAAGCUUUCAAUUUAAGACUGAUCAUAUAUAAGAAACUAUUCAUUUUAUCAAGUCUUCUUCGAUGGAGCUUGUGACAUCACUUCGAAAUUCCCUAUUAACUCCAUAUUUUUUAUCUUGUUAAAAGAGUAAGAGGAAGAAUUAGGCAUUAUGGAGGCAUAUAACAAGAUUUGUGGUUGCUAUUAUACAAAAAAUAAACAUCUUGUUAUAAUCAGGGAAAAAUUACAAUAGCAAUGAACAAAUGAAAAAUUAAUCGAACCCUAAAACAAACAUACAUUAAUGUAAUUUUUAUAAAACAAUAAAAAAAAUCAUACUCAUAAAGUCUAAACAAACUUAUAUUACAAUAGUCUAUAAUUUCAUCUGCAUAGAUAUUCCUAUCAAUGCUACUUCCUUCUAUUAGGAUGAUAGUCGCCACUUGAGAGGAUAAUUGAUUGUUUAUUUGUUUAUCCUACAAAGUCAAAAAAAUGAUCAAUUACUUAUGUAAUAAAAUUAUUCAAUUUUAAUUAAUGCUAAAACUUAACUCUGCAUCAUUACUUAAUGCUUUUUUUAAAUUUAGUAAUGUUUUUUGACAUUUUUCUUUGACAAUGCCAAGGUAAAUGAUCUCUAGGAUAGUUAUCUACUAGAUCAUGUAUUCAUUUGGCUGCAUUCUUUGUUACUCUCACAUUAUUACUACAACUUCCUUGACUUGUAACAACAUUUGUUUGGUUACCAUCGCAUUGAAUUGUCUUUGAUAGGUCUUUCUAUACAUUCUAAAUCUAAUUUAAAACAAGUUUAAAACCUUCAACAUCUGAUGUAACCAUGUUUGCAACAUCUACAAAACUAACACAUAUUUUCUCAUAUCGCUUUGGUUCAUCUAUGCAACUUUGCAGCUCAUGGCUCAUUUUCACCCUACAUCCUUUUUCCGUCUUCAUAGGAUGUACUUUUCUAGAAAAACUUAUAUGUCGUUGCAUAUCAUGAAUAUAAUGGCAUACCUGAAAAAAAUUCCUCUAAACUAGAAUCUUAAACAACUAAAACUAAUUUCAACCUUAUCUUUUUCAGAAUGGACUUAAAAAAAUGUUCUCUUCUUACUUUCUCAUCUUUGACAUCUUCUCUAACUAUAUAUUUAGAUCCCACAUAAUUGACAAAUUCACAAUACAUCUUUGUAGUCAACUCUUGCUAAAAUUCUUAAAACUUUAAAAUAGUGUACACCUCUCAAACUUGCUUCUCUAUCUCAUAAGAUGUUACACAUGGAAUUUGUUAGGAAAGACGCCUGACAUAUUCUUCAACUUCUUUUUCACUUUUACUCCUUAAUCCAUUUUCAUAUUCAUAUUCCAAAAUCAUGUGAUGUUAAGUUUCCUCAAAAUUUAUAGUCUUCUAAAUCAUAAAGAAAACAAUGCAUAACAUCACUAAUAUCACCAUAUAUUUUAUAGCUCCUUAACAUAUUUUGAAUUUUCUUAAGUAUAUGGCACAAAAACCAUCGAUGUUAAAUGUUGGCAAAAGCAUCCUCAAUUAUAUUUUUCAUUGCUCUAUCUUGGUCUGUAAUUAUUUUGAUGGGAGCAAAAUUAGAUAUACAUGAUAGUCAAGUCUGAAAUAACCACAUGAAUAUCUCAAUGUCCUUGUGUGAAACUAAUCAACAUCAUGGAAAAAUAGAAUGACCAUGCUCCAAGCUCUUUGCAGGCUUUCCAACUCCUUGCCCCAAUAGAAAAUACAUUUUUUAAUUGACUCUCAACAUCUACUAGCAUAAUAAAGAGAAACAUAUUGUCUUCUACUUGCAUUUUCAUAAAAUAGUCUUGAAUAAUAAUAACAUCUCCAUCUCCGAGCCAUAAUCGUCUUUCUUUCUAAACAUGAUAUAUGUCCUCUCUUUUUAUGAAUGCCACAUUUUCAUAGCCACCCGACUCAAUAACAAGUGAGUGAUAGUUGUGUCACAUUUUAGUUCCUACUCAAUCAUUUACAUUAAGAUUCAUUUUUGCAUAUGCACCUAGGCUAUUAUUGUAUCGAAAGUGCCUAGACUUAGUAGGAGUCAAUAUUAUAUGGUUGUGUUCAAGGUUUAAAAUUCGAACCUUCCACUUUCUAUUUUCCUCUAAACGUCCUUUAAAUUUAGCAUUCCAACCUGUUUUUCCACUAGAUUGGGGCUUAAGAUAUUAAUGGACUUGUUUAGCUUCUUGUCUCACCGCUUCAGCUACAAGCAAAACUCAGAUGCCUUAUACUCCCAUCACUCUCUUUUUGCUAUUUCUCUGCAAACCUUUUUCUUUUUAACAUAAUUUUUGUAAUAAAUAGGCAUUUCAAUAUCACUAUCAAUUAUCAAAUGACAUCCCAAUCAUCGUCCUCUUCAAUUUUCUCUAACCCUUCAACUUUAGUAGUUGUUUCCAUAUUUUUUAUUUCUACAAAAUGAAUAUAAUCACAUUAACAUACUUAAAAAAGUAAAAGAUUACUAAAGAGAGAGCCAUAUAUAAGUUAUAUAUGCUUUAAGUUACAAAAAAUAAUGAUCAAUUGCAAAUUUUUAUGUCAAUCUUGAAUAAAACCGAUUCUUUGUUUCCUCCAACAACAUGAAAUUAUUAUAUCAAUUCCGAAUAAAAUAGUGACAAUAAAUAAGAAAAAGAGAAUUGCUUCCUCUUUCAAUAUGAAAUCCAGUUCAUAAUAACAAAAAUUAAAUAAUUCACCAAUUCUUUAUUUCCAAAUAACUCAAAUUUUGAAUAGCAUAAUCAUGAACACACUUUGAAUCCUAACAGAUAAUUCACCAAUUUUAAACCCUAAAUAAGACAAAUUUUAAAUUAUUGAAAUGAAUUGAAGGAAAUUACCAUCAAAGAUGCAGUUGUCGAUUCUCCUGAGAGGCCAUAAUUACUAUGAAUAGCCAUAUUAAUGAUGAGGGACGCAUUUUUUCUAUGCUACCAUACUUGCUCUCGUAUUCUUCCCAAGUUCGGCUGAGGAAGAGUUACGAGGCAUAAAACAAAUAUAUGUAUGUAUGCAUAUAUGUGUGUGUGUCUCUCUCUCUCUCUAUAUAUAUAUGCUGAUUUGGGUUCGGAAUACUUUUUUUAUUUACCAUUCAUGGUAAAUAAAUAAAAAAGUAAGACUACUCCAUUUUGACAAAAGACCCACAACUAAAUUCUAUAGCUUUUGGUCCACUGUCCCGAUCAUGAUUUUCCUACCCCUAGAGGGAAGGGCCCUAAGCCUUGAGAAUGUCUAUUACGGCGUUUGUCGGUGAUGAGACCAGGGCGGUGCCGAAGAUGAUAUAAUAGAGACAAGGCUGAUUGAAUUUGGGAGAAGAGAGAGUGAGCGAGCGAGAUGUGAGAGAGCCGAGUUAUUUGAUUUGGGAGAGGAUUUAAAGCAAGCCCAAAAUGCAGCGUGUUUUACCCACUAUUGUACUCAUUAUUGUAAGAAUAUCAUUAUUGUAUCAGAAAUAGUUGGCCUUAAACAUAACUCAACAUUACACAAUGUGGGAUCAGUUUUAUGUCUAAUUGGGUCAUAUAUUUUCUAUGUGAGAGAUGCUGUGGUGAUACAGUACGAGGCCAAGAUUUGAAGCACUUUCCAGCGUUUGCUUAUUGUAUGGUCUCUAAGCCAUCUGAGAAUAUUAGGAUUUAGGAGAUUUGUGAAGAGGCUGGCUUGUGGUGAAUGUCUUUAAUGUGUGGAACACAUUUUCACACAUUUCUAUCUUAACGAUUAGGGUUCCACAUAAAAGCAAAAUGCAAGUUAAGGUUGAUGUUCCACAUACUUGCCGUAAAGAGUCUACAUUUUCUUUUAAUAUUUCUUAACUUUUCAAGAAUCUUGGUAAGUUUAAUAAGUGACUAAUGCCGCAAUUCCAAAAAAGCUAUCAUAUAUAAUUGUUAGUAAGUGACUACUGCGGCAAUACCAAAUAAACUCUCACAUUAGUAGAAACUCAAAUGUUAAGAUUAUAAUUAGGAUAACAUUAUAGUAUAAAAGCAAAAACAUAUUGUAUUGAGCAU